rnacentral:lncRNA from 1 species
UGGGGUUAAAGGUUAUGGGUUAAGGUUAUGGGCUUGGGUUGGGGUUAAAGGUUAUGGGUUAGGGUUAGAGGUGAUGGGAUAGGGUUAUGGGGUUGGGUUGGAGUUAAAGGUUAUGGGUUAGGGUUAUGGGGUUGGGUUUGGGUUAAGGGUUAUGGGGUUGGGUUGGGGUUAAAGGUUAAGGGUUAACGUUAUUGGGUUGGGUUGGGGUUAAAGGUUAUGGGAUAGGGUUAGAGGUGAUGGGAUAGGGUUAUGGGGUUGGGUUAGGGUUAAAGGUUAUGGGUUAGGGUUAUGGGGUUGGGUUGGGGUUAAAGGUUAUGGGUUAGGGUUAGAGGUGAUGGGAUAGGGUUAUGGGGUUGGGUUAGGGUUAAAGGUUAUGGGUUAGGGUUAUGGGGUUGGGUUUGGGUUAAGGGUUAUGGGGUUGGGUUGGGGUUAAAGGAUAUGGGUUAGGGUUAUGGGGUUGGGUUAGGGUUAAAGGUUAUGGGUUAAUGUUAUGGGGUUCGGUUCGAGUUAAGGUUUAUGGGGUUCGGUUUGGGUUAAGGGUAAUGGGGUUGGGUUGCGGUUAAAGGUUAUGGGAUAGGGUUAUGGGGAUUAAAGGCUAAGGGUUAAGGGUUAUAGUUACGGGGCGGGUGUUAACGGUCAAAGGUUAUGGGGUUGGGGUUAAAGGUUAUGGGUUAGGGUUAAAGGUUAUGGGUUUGGUUUAUGGGUUACGGGGUUGCGUUGGGGUUAAAGGUGAAGGGUUAAAGAUAUGGGCUGGGUUAAAGGUUAAGGAUUAAAGAUAUGGGCUGGGUUAAAGGUUAAGGGUUAAAGGUUAAGGGUUAGGGUUAUGGGGCGGGGGUUAAAGGUCAAAGGUUAAGGGUUACGAUUACGGGGCGGGGGUUAAAGGUCAAAGGUUAUGGGGCUAUGGGGUUGGGGUUAAAGGUUAUGGGUUUGGUUUAAAGGUUAUGGGGUUGGGUUGGGGUGAAAGAUGAAGGGUUAAAGAUAUGGGCUGGGUUAAAGGUUAAAGGUUAAGG